AAGGAAAUCGCCAUGACGAACUGCAUGGAUUCUAGUAUUUGGCAUGGUCCCCUUGGGUUCAGAUGGUCACAUGUAACCCACAGGAAGUGAGAGGUGGAGGUGAUGAGGAAUGCAAACUCUUUGCAGGUCUCUCUGCAUUAAAAACCACUCUCACUUUUCAUCACCUAUCUUUAGUAUAAAUAGAGAAGUAGGAUGAAUGUUUCCAAAGGAGAAAAUAAUCUGCUUUCUUCAUUCUUUUCUCUUUUUCUUGAAUUCCUGAUCUAAACUUUCCCUUGUUUAUUUUGUUUCUGAGGGAGUUGUCUGCACAUAGGAAGAGAGAGUAAGUCCCGAAGCUUGUGAUAUGAGACAAUGAAGUGGUUUCUUCCUCACAUAAGGCACUGUAAAUGGUCUAGAAAUGGAUAGGGCGGCUGCAUGCACCAAAUGAUCACCUGUAGGUCAUGGCUAUCUACAUCACGAAAGCUGUGAGGACGAGCCAUCCAAUCCUUCUCCUAGACUCAUAUGAUGUACCAUCAGUUCAUCCUCGUGAUGAUUUAGCUGCUACCUUGAAUGCCUAUUGCUAGAAGGUGAUCCACACAAAGGAAAAGCUUAGACCGAAUUCCUUUUAUCACGGCUUGGCAUGAAAAAACUGAUCGAAACUAUAUCAUAGAUUCUCUGCAUGCAUUGCUUAUCAAGAUUACUUCUUGUGAUAUAAACAGUUCUCACAAAGGGAUAUCGGUGUCAAGUUUCAUCACCGAAAUAUAUAUUUUGUCCGUGAGAGAAGAAACUUGUCACGAGUUAAACUCCUCAAACACACGGACACACACAAUGCCAUAGAGUGUCAGGUCAACACACUCCACCAUGCUCACAAGGAAGGAAGAAAACAAGGCAUGGUAGAAGAAAGCAAUGAUAAGCUCCAUGAUUGUUCCAGCCACAAGCCAGAAUGAGUGCUCCACCACCUAACGCUGCCAGAACAAAUCAUUGUCCUCGUGAAUCUAAGCUUGUGGAAUCGACAGUUCGGCCUUCUUGGCUUAUACUGCGUCAUAUAUUUCAGCCUCUGCUCAAUGAAUAGGAACACAAGCCAGUUGUGUUGCAUCUGUACAUGCGAGAUAUACUCCCAAGUGUAGAACUCAAGUUUCAAUCUUUUCUUUUAGGUUCUGUUGUUUGAUGUAUAAACAUAAACUUGGUUCAACCAAUGGUA